CCCUUAGAUGUCCUGGGCCGCACGCGCGUUACACUGAUGCAUUCAACGAGCUUAUAACCUUGGCCGAGAGGCCUGGGCAAUCUUGUUAACGUGCAUCGUGAUAGGGAUAGAUUAUUGAAAUUAUUAAUCUUGAACGAGGAAUUCCUAGUAAACGCAGAUCAUCAAUCUGCAUUGAUUACGUCCCUGCCCUUUGUACACACCGCCCGUCGCUCCUACCGAUUGAGCGGUCCGGUGAAGACUCAAGAGAUAUGUAGGCGCUCGGGUGACCGAACGCGUUGCGUGUCAAAUUUGUCUAAACCUUAUCGCUUAGAGGAAGGAGAAGUCGUAACA
rnacentral:rRNA from 1 species